AUGGCUAUACCAUUACCAGCACAUGAAAUGAAAGACUUCGUUGCAUGGAGUUAUAACAAAGGUGGUUUUUUCUCUGUCUGCUCAGCUUACCACAUGGAAUGGAACCAUCAACAUGGAAGGAAACUGAGACGAACAACUGGUGUUGAAGCUAUGGGUAAUAAUGGAAUCUGGGACAAAAUCUGGAAAUUGCGAUGUCCUGCAAAGGUGAAAGUAUUUCUUUGGAGAACACUCAGGGGGACUCUUCCGUGUAGGGUUAAUCUAGCAAACCGUCACAUCAAAGUAUCGGGACAGUGCCCAGUCUGCAACUGUGGAGCUGAGGAUGUGACACAUCUCCUGUUUAGAUGUAAGAGAGCAACAGAAGUUUGGCGCCUCCUGGGACUUGAAAAUUUUAUUAAGAAAGCAUGUGGUGUGGAUAGAGCAGGUGGGGCUGUCCUUGAUUUUUUGAUGCAAACUCCAGCGAAGGAAAUUGCACUAAUCGGCCAGGCUAAUGUACAUGAGCUAAUCUCUAUCACUUCCUGA
rnacentral:rRNA from 1 species